GGGGGGGGGGGGGGGGGGGCUGGGGGCGGGGGGGUCGGGCGGGGGGGCCCUGCUUGUGGGGGGUGCUCGAGUGGCGAACGGGUGAGUAACACGUGAGUAACCUGCCCUUGGCUUUGGGAUAACUUCAGGAAACUGGGGCUAAUACCGGAUAGGCGCUCCUGCUGCAUUGUGGGGGUUGGAAAGUUUCGGCGGUUGGGGAUGGACUCGCGGCUUAUCAGCUUGUUGGUGGGGUAGUGGCUUACCAAGGCUUUGACGGGUAGCCGGCCUGAGAGGGUGACCGGCCACAUUGGGACUGAGAUACGGCCCAGACUCCUACGGGAGGCAGCAGUGGGGAAUAUUGCACAAUGGGCGGAAGCCUGAUGCAGCAACGCCGCGUGCGGGAUGACGGCCUUCGGGUUGUAAACCGCUUUCGCCUGUGACGAAGCGUGAGUGACGGUAAUGGGUAAAGAAGCACCGGCUAACUACGUG
rnacentral:rRNA from 1 species